CCUUAUAAAGAGCGGCUGAGGGAACGGCCCUGUGAAGCCCGGCAACCUGCGUUAUGCAAGGUGCCAAGUCCGACGGUGAUACCGAGAGAUAAG
rnacentral:ncRNA from 1 species